UUGUGCUACCAUACCACACACCCACUACUGUGACCCUGGCCAUCUCAUCUGAUUUUGGAAACUACGCAGGGUUCGGCCUGAUUAGUACUUGGAGAGGAGACCACCACAGAAUGUCAGGUACUGCACUGG
rnacentral:rRNA from 1 species